GACGAACGCUGGCGGCGUGCUUAACACAUGCAAGUCGAACGGAAAGGCCCUGCUUUUGUGGGGUGCUCGAGUGGCGAACGGGUGAGUAACACGUGAGUAACCUGCCCUUGACUUUGGGAUAACUUCAGGAAACUGGGGCUAAUACCGGAUAGGAUCUCCUGCUGCAUGGUGGGGGUUGGAUAGUUUCGGCGGUUGGGGAUGGACUCGCGGCUUAUCAGCUUGUUGGUGGGGUAGUGGCUUACCAAGGCUUUGACGGGUAGCCGGCCUGAGAGGGUGACCGGCCACAUUGGGACUGAGAUACGGACCAGACUCGUACGGGAGGCAGCAGUGGGGAAUAUUGCACAAUGGGAGGAAGCCUGAUGCAGAAACGCCGCGUGCGGGAUGACGGCCUUCGGGUUGUAAACAGCUUUCGCCUGUGACGAAGCGUGAGUGACGGUAAUGGGUAAAGAAGCACCGGCUAACUACGUG
rnacentral:rRNA from 1 species